rnacentral:lncRNA from 1 species
UGUGAAAGAUUAGGGCCAGUGGUUCUACAGGAAAUGGAAUUGCAGGAAGUUCAGGCUGGAAUUUAGGGUUUGGAGUGUUACGAUCAUGUUCCCAAGAAAACAACAUAACUAUUGGAAUAAAUGUAGAUUUUUGUACAUGAGUAAAUGUGGAUAUUUGUACAUGAAUAAAUGUAGAUUGUUGUACAUGAAAACAAUAAGACAUCCUCUGAAAAUAAGCCCUAGUGUAUCUUUUGGGGCAAAAUGGAUAGAAGAACUGGUCUUAUUUGGGGGGCAAUACAUUAGGUGACUGACUUAAGGAUAUUUAGUAACAAUCUUUUGCCUAAUUUUGGAAUUAAAUUGCUAGAUGGGUAUUGAACCAAUACCCAGGUCUGGGACUGUGUAUUCUUGAGUUUUUUUCUUUUCUUAGGCUUUUGAGUUAGGUAUGUACUGUGUAAGCAAAGGUGAAUCAAAUGGAUUUCUUCCAUGUCUCCAUCCUAGCAGCAUGGCUGUUUUCACCCUUUCUGUGUGAGGGCCAGACUGUUCACUUUUACUGCAAUCAAGGAGAACUUGUCUCUAUGCAUACCAUUUGGGAAGAAGCAAGCACCCCUCUCUCUCCCACGGAGCUUGUUGUCCCAGGACCAGCCCCUCUGCUCAUUUCUUUGAUCCUUCCCUAAGUUUUGGAUGCCACUACCCAAUCAUAGCCCUUUAAUGAGGAUUAAUGUGGACCAUGCUCUCAGGCUGCAAGGUACAGUGCCUGUUUAGGUUGGGCCACUUAAUAAAUGGAGGCCAUUAUUAAU